GACGAACGCUGGCGGCGUGCUUAACACAUGCAAGUCGAACGGGCCUGUCUUCUUUUUUGGGGGGUGGGUUGAGUGGCAAACGGGUGAGUAUCACGUGAGUAACCUGCCCUUCGGUCCUGGAUAACCGCUUGAAAGGGCGGCUAAUACGGGGUGGUCCGGUUGGUCCGCAUGGGCUGGUCGGGAUAGAUUCACUGUUUUUGGUGUUUCGGCGGGGGAUGGGCUCGCGGCCUAUCAGCUUGUUGGUGGGGUGAUGGCCUACCAAGGCGGUGACGGGUAGCCGGCCUGAGAGGGUGGGCGGCCACACUGGGACUGAGAUACGGCCCAGACUCCUGCGGGAGGCAGCAGUGGGGGGUAUUGCACAAUGGGCGGAAGCCUGAUGCAGCGACGUCGCGUGAGGGAUGGAGGCCUUCGGGUUGUGAACCUCUGUUUCCGGUGGUGAAGGCCCUGUCCGUGUGGUGGGGUUGACGGUAGCCGGGGAUGAAGCGCCGGCUAACUACGUG
rnacentral:rRNA from 1 species